rnacentral:lncRNA from 1 species
AGAUACCGAGCUAGACGACCUGGACAUCGACCAUGGUCAGUGGCCUGGAGCACGCAUGGCGGCGCACGCUUCACGUUCCCUGAUCAGAAGUUCAGAACGGCGGCCUCUGCAGGUACGCGAACAUGUCCCCGAACGCGGCGGCGUCGACGCGUGCGAAGAGCGCCGGCGACGGCGGACCGAAGAGCGCGCUGCCGCAGUCGUCCAUGACCACGAACCCGUCGUCGGCCGCCGCGCCGCCCCAGUCGCCGCCGGGCCACCACCCGGCCCCGCCGCCGGGCUGGCUCUCGGCGUGGUCGCGGUCGGGGAGGUCCGGCGACGGCGACAGCACGUGCUCGGACCCGCUGCUGGAGUUGUCCGUGUGCAUCGUCCACGGCACGGAGCUGGAGUCGCGGUCCGGAUCGGGCUCCGUCGGCGACAGCGCCGCCGGCGCGGGCGCGGGCGCGGGCACCAUGGCCGCGGCCUCGCCGGGGCGAUCGAAGCAGAGCAUCCCCGCGGACGGCGUCUCGAGGUCGUAGUCGUCGUAGUACCCGCCGUAGUCGGCCAUCUCCACCUUCAUCGGCGCCGCCGCCCCGCGCGGGUUCUUGGCCGCGGCCGGCUUGACGUCGUCGGCGGCCGCGGCGGCGACCUCGUCGUCGUCCACCGUGUCGUACCGCUCGAUCACACCCUUCUUGUUGUAGAUGCGGCACAGCACCCAGUCAUCCAGCUGCAAAAUCCAAAGGAACAAAAAGGUCAGCGGCAUAGUCCAGGUGGUGCUAAAGACGAAAUCUUGCACGAAGCUGGUUGAUCUCUUUUACUACGCGUUGGAUCGGAGCCGCGCGCGGAGCUCGACGUGACGUGACGUCGGAUUCGGCGCGUGUGGUCAGAGUGGUGCGCGUGCGCGGGCGGCGAUAAGAUCAGGAUGGCUGACGGCCGCCGCGGUUGCCGGCCGGCUGUCCCUAUCGCCGCGUGCGUGAGCCGUGACGCCAUGCCCGCCCGCGCUUUACUGCUUUACAUGUCUCUAGAGCCGCCCGCCCGUCCGUCUGCAAAGUAGCCACGGGCUGUCGCGAAAGGGACAGCUCGAGCACGCUGCAAAUGGACAAUUUGGACCCCUACCUUUUCUUAAUAAUAAUACUCUUAAUUAUUAAUUACCUGCAAAUUAACCUAACAAAUGCAGUAUUUGCUCCACACAUUUCCAUUGCAACAUUGCUCAAAAAGACGAUCAUUUUUAUGUUUAAUGAUUUUAUAACUGAAAGUUUCAGUGUUGUUACUUUUUGUUGGGGGAGAUCGAUAAACGCAAGGAACAAGCUGCCAGCAAGACGUAAGUAAGGACAGUGAUUUACCCUGAGCGCGUUGUUGUUGGUCUUCUUGCGCGCGGCGGCGGAGCGGUCGACGUCGGCGAGCCUGUACUCGUGCAUGAUCCAGUUGGUCUUGACGCCCUUGGGCGGCUUCCCGGCGUAGAAGACGAGCGCCUUCUUGAUGGCGACGGGGCGCGGCGACCCCACCGGCUUGUCGGCGCCGGUGGCCUUCCAGUACCCGGCCCCCGCCGCCCGGUUAGGACGCGACCCGUUGGGGUACUUGCGGUCCCGCGGCGAGAAGAAGUACCACUCCUUCUCCCCUCCCAUCGCCUUCUCUGCAACAUCACAUCCGUCGAUCAGAGAAAACAGUUAGCGACUAAUCAGCUGAGAUUAUCAUAAUCCACCGGUGCUGCUGCAAGAUUAACAACCUGGGAGGUUCCAUGGGUCGAACUUGUAGAGGUCGACCUCGGCGAUGACGGGGGCGGCGAGGGGCAGGCCGCCGCACUUGCGGAGGAGGUAGUAGUUCACCAGCUCGUCGUCAGUGGGGUGGAACCGGAACCCCGGCGGCAGCUGCAGCGCGCCACCGAAGUCCAUCAGUUUCGCCGGAUUCGAGUUAAUUGAGGGGAUCGGAACGAAGCAGUCGUCGAUCGCAAGAGCAGGUCGCUGCAGAGCUCGGAGG